AUUGAACGCUGGCGGCGUGCUUAACACAUGCAAGUCGAUCGGUAACAGGUGUAGCAAUACAUGCUGACGAGAGGCGGACGGGUGAGUAAUGCUUGGGAAUCUGCCUAUUAGUGGGGGACAACCCGGGGAAACUCGGGCUAAUACCGCAUACGCUCUACGGAGGAAAGCCGGGGACCGCAAGGCCUGGCGCUAAUAGAUGAGCCCAAGUCGGAUUAGCUAGUUGGUAGGGAACGGCCUACCAAGGCGACAAUCCGUAGCUGGUCUGAGAGGACGACCAGCCACACCGGAACUGAGACACGGUCCGGGACUCCUACGGGAGGCAGCAGUGGGGAAUAUUGGACAAUGGGGCAACCCUGAUCCAGCGACGCCGCGUGGGUGAAGAAGGCCUGCGGGUUGUAAAGCCCUUUCGGUGGGGAAGAAAGUCUCGACCUAAUACGUCGGGACCUUGACGUAACCCACUAAAGAAGCACCGGCUAACUCUGUGCC
rnacentral:rRNA from 1 species